rnacentral:rRNA from 1 species
AUUGAACGCUGGCGGCAUGCUUUACACAUGCAAGUCGAACGGCAGCGCGGGCUUCGGCCUGGCGGCGAGUGGCGAACGGGUGAGUAAUACAUCGGAACGUGCCCAGUAGUGGGGGAUAGCUCGGCGCAAGCCGGAUUAAUACCGCAUACGACCUGAGGGUGAAAGCGGGGGAUCUUCGGACCUCGCGCUAUUGGAGCGGCCGAUGGCAGAUUAGCUAGUUGGUGGGGUAAAGGCCUACCAAGGCGACGAUCUGUAGCUGGUCUGAGAGGACGACCAGCCACACUGGGACUGAGACACGGCCCAGACUCCUACGGGAGGCAGCAGUGGGGAAUUUUGGACAAUGGGCGAAAGCCUGAUCCAGCAAUGCCGCGUGUGUGAUGAAGGCCUUCGGGUUGUAAAGCACUUUUGGCGGGAACGAAAAGGACUGUGCCAAUACCACGGUUCGAUGACGGUACCCGCAGAAUAAGCACCGGCUAACUACGUG